AUACGGAGGGUGCAAGCGUUAUCCGGAAUCACUGGGUUUAAAGGGUGCGUAGGCGGCCAUAUUAGUCAGUAGUGAAAGGUUGCAGCUUAACUGUAAGACUGCUAUUGAAACUGUAUGGCUUGAAUUAGGAUGAGGUAGGCGGAAUGUGACAUGUAGCGGUGAAAUGCUUAGAUAUGUCAUAGAACACCGAUUGCGUAGGCAGCUUACUAGACCUAUAUUGACGCUGAGGCACGAAAGCGUGGGGAGCGAACAGGAUUAGAUACCCUAGUAGUCC
rnacentral:rRNA from 1 species